rnacentral:lncRNA from 10 species
UAUUCUAAACUUUAGGUUUGUUGCAUUUUUAAAUGUUUUCAAGAUUUUUCAGUGGUAAAGUGAUAGUGCUAUAAAAGUACUUAUGUAAUGCCUUCAGGUUUCAAAGCAAACAAAAAUCAAGAAAUGUUCUGUUAAACCAGUUUGGAAAUAUCUAGGUAGAGCCUAAUUGCUCUCUGUCCUUCUGCAUCUGAAUUUGCUGGUAGGGUUGAGCCUCCAUUCUCUUGCUGUCAUCACCUUCCUCUCCAUGCUGUAUGUUGGUUCCUGCUCCACAGCCCUAUGAUUUCUCCCCAGCGGUCAUCAGCACCCUCAUUGUCUGGCUUUGAACUCCUCUCUUGCUUUCACUCUAGUACCCUUCCUUCCUUGGUCACUGUUCCUUCUCCAUCUCCUCCUAGAAUUUACAUCCUCUGUGAACCCUCAAAUAUUGGUGAUCUCCAAAUUCUCUGAUUUCUGUCAGUCCAUUAUAUUUUAGGAAAAUUCCAUUUCAAUAUACCAAAAGCUCAAAUAUAUAUCUAUGCCACUCUGACUGCUUUUCUGAACCUCAGACUGGAAUAUCCAACCCCCUGCAAGAUCUCUCCCUUAAUGAUUUCUAACUUCACUUGGUCAACACUGAAUUCAUCUUCCUGCUUCUCUAAAAACCUGUCCCCUCUGUACAGUAAGACUCAAUAUGUGAUAACAUCAACUAUCUAGUUAAUCCUCACUGAUUCUCACCAGUGUCACUUUCAUAGCAUACACACACUCAUACACUGUAUAUACAUACACACCACACCCCAUACACUGUGACUGUAGUCAAAGGCCAGAUCCUCUCAGUUUUGACUCUAGACUUUUCUCCAACUCCAUUCCCACUGCUCUUGAGCUGAGAUUCUCAUCACUGCUCACGUAGCCAUUGGAAGAGUCUCCUCCUGCUCUCCUUACCUCCAGCCUCAGUCUCCUUGAAUGAAAGCUGCAUGAUGCAGCCAAAGGAAUUCUUUAAAAUGCAUAUCAACCAUAGCCCCCCUACGUCAUACUCCCCAUCUACUAGUGCCUGUAGAAUAAAGUCCUAGCUCUUAAGCAUAGCCAACCAAAUCCUCCUUGACCUGAUCCUAGAGUCCCUUUACUGUCUCCAUAAGAAAUUUGCCACCAACCAGCACCAUGAUAUCUUCAAACACUUUACUGAAGAUCUGGGGGCAAUUGAUGUCAAUAAAAAACUAUUGAUUAAAAAAACAAACAUUAGUGGAAAUGUGAUCUACAAAGUAGAGAUUUGGAACACAUACUUUAGUUAUACCAAAUUCUACUGCCCCUCCAAUGCCAUAGCACUUAACUAGCUAGGUGGCAUGGAAAAAGAAAAGGGUGUGCAGCCACAAGAAAGACAGAGGGAGUUCUUUAUCUACUGACAUGGACAUAUGAUCAUUUAUUUAAGGAGCCCCCUAUUGAUGGAAAUAGAGAUAGUUGCUAAUCUUUACAAUUUACAUUACUAAGAUAUCGGUCUGUCUGUCCGCCUUAGGGACAGUAGGCCUGAAGGGCGGGCAGAGUAAAACUGGGGACCCUAGUUACAGAGCAAUAGGCCAGCUAAGAGAAGGGAGGUAUUUAAGGACCUAGAGGCCCUGGACUUAAGGCAUUUAACCUUGCUAGGAGAAAUGCAAUAAAUCAGUAAUUUCAGUGCAUUCAUUCAUUUAACACAUUUAUUCAGCAUCUAUUAUGUUCUUCGGGCUCUAUCAAGCCCUGAAGAUAAAGUAUGGAAUAAACACUUGACCAGUCUCUGCCAUCAUGGAGCUUUCAGCCUAUUGAGGAAAGACGGGAUGAAUCUGGACUUUCCAACCCUUGGAUGACACCUUCACAUGCAGCCCACAAGGCCUCUGCUGAAUGUCACUUGCAGCCUAACGAGAAAGCCAUUCCUGGCACUAGAUAAUCGAUGGUCGUGGUUUGUUUUCAAAGCUCCUGGUAAAUUAGGUCUCCUGGAAGGCACCUUCCCCGAACCUUCCCCCACUGUAUUUAUGCUUAAUUCUUUUCAUUUUUCAUUGCUUCCCCAAAUUAAAUUUAUGUGUGCACUUGGCAAAUUGUUGCCAUUAGUGUAAACAUUCACUACAAGACAUUCCCCAAGUUCUGGUGCCUAGAGAUAUCGUAGUAAAAUGAAUUGUUCUCCCC